UACGGAGGAGGCAAGCGUUAUCCGGAAUUACUGGGCGUAAAGGGCUCGUAGGCGGCCAACUAAGUCAGACGUGAAAUCCCUCGGCUUAACCGGGGAACUGCGUCUGAUACUGGAUGGCUUGAGUGUGGGAGAGGGAUGCGGAAUUCCAGGUGUAGCGGUGAAAUGCGUAGAUAUCUGGAGGAACACCGGUGGCGAAGGCGGCAUCCUGGACCAUUACUGACGCUGAUGAGCGAAAGCCAGGGGAGCAAACGGG
rnacentral:rRNA from 1 species